rnacentral:lncRNA from 1 species
GGUCUUGGACGUUUCCGGAGGCUUUUGGAAACCAGAAUUUAGGAAACUGCACCACAUAUCGAGUCCCCUAUUCCUGUCAGCGUGCUCUCCUGAGGGCCCGCUGCCAGUCCCCACCCUGUGAUGCAUGUCCAUAUGCCGGGUGUAUUAGCCGGGAGAAGCUGUGGAGAAUCACACCAACAGGGACGGCCAUCUGUCCUCUUACAGAUAUAGCAUGGACUCUGCGAGCGCAUGAAGACAGGAUCUUAAAACAUUUGGUCCAUUAUAUCACAGCGCUGAUGAUGAAUGGCUUUUGCACAGGGCUCGUCCUGUACGCAGAACUAAUUAUAUAGCUUUUCAGCGUGGGGGGUAGGACAAUGCAGCAGCAUUCAGAUUAGCAGGAACUGAUAGACUGAGUCCUAUAAUAGGCCUGUAUUCAGAGGGGAGGAGGGAUUCACACCCUUUACUACUGAAAUGACUAAUACUGCACUUUAAAGGAAAUACAAACAAAAAAGCUUAAAAACUAAGAAUGAUUAAAAUUAUUAUAAAAUGAUGUAAAUUAAAGAGGUGUCAAUACAAUUCACUCAAAAAUCAAAGCUCCUGUGAGGAACUUUUUGGCUUAUUUCACAGAUUUAUUUUAUCCCCUAGGCAGAGAAAUAUAAAAUUAACUCGAUGACAAUUUUGCAGCAUGGCAACAGCGGAGGAGGGUCCCAGACUGCUUGGAUGAAAUUGAACGUUUAGGUUUAAAUGCAUUAAGUCAGCUUUUCUCUGUAAUUCUGUUGUAAAUUUGAACUUCAUUUUUUGCAUUUUAUCUAGUAUCAGCUCCAUUAAAUAAAGAAAAAGUCACUAAAACAUCCAAACUUUGCUGAUUGGAUUAAAUCUACAUGACAAAUCAACUCAAAACUGACCAGGUAAGGUUGUUUUUUUGUAUUUAAUUCUAGUUGAAACUUAAAUUUACACUUCAGGUCAAAGUAUCACAGUCAGAAAUUAAAAAUAGAGGAAUUUUAAUGAUGCUUGUUGCCCUGUUAAGCAUUUUCACUCAUUGAUUCCUCAAUUGUUGGCCUCUCUGCACGAUCAGCCAUGACUCAAAUGUUAAAAAAAAACACCUUAAGAGUAAAAUACUGACCAAGAUUACUGCACAAAUAUUUUGUAACUCCACCCUAGAGAGAAGUCAGUGUUUUACUGGUGAGUUAAAUGCAUGCUGUUGUUUGCAGGUAGAGUGUAACACCAGAUCCAAGACUCUACCAGACAUCUCCAGGCUGCACCAGGUUAGUCACAAUAAGAAGAGCACUGGUGAUCCUAUCUGCAGCUGAUUGUCUCCAAGUACAUUUUCAAACCCUUUUCAUAGUUUUUAUUGAAGCUACAGCUGAUUUUAAACAAUCAUAAAGUCCCAUAUACAUUAUUAGAUUGGAUAAAAAGCAAAAAGUAACGUAAAUCAGAAUGGUAGGGGAGUCCUGGUCUCCUGACCGGUAUUUCACGGAUUGUUGAUUAGUGAGUUAUUUAAGCUCUGCUGCCAAAGGUGCGUAUUUCCCUCUGGGUCUGAUUUCACUCACCUCUUUACUUCCCUACAACCUCUCUGAUUGGCUGUUUUAUGACGUAACUGUGCUGUCAGUGUAGCUGUUAACACCUGAUUUGAUUUUAUAUUUGCUAAAAACUUUCAAACAAGUCUGGUUUUGGAUUUCGAUCAUUCCCAAUAAUCUGUCUCAGUAUCGGCCCCAACAAACCAAUAUCAGUAAAUCCCGAUUAACAGGACUAAAGAGCUUCUAAGAGGUAGUGAAGAUGUAAACGACUUAUACUCUGAAUAUGAAAUUACUUAACACGCUUUAAAAGUUGUUUAGAGGGUCUUUAAGGGGAGGGGGUAAACGUGGUUUUAAAGGGUCUGUAUCUGAAUCCAGAUUCUUCUCACAGCUCCAGGAGGACAAACAGGAAGGGGAAUCAUUCUCGUCAGUGAGGAGAGACAAACAGGUCAAUAUGGCCUAUCAAUAAUGAAACAGAGCGGGGAUGCAUGUUGUUAUCCCUCAGAGGGAAGGGUGAUACAGGUGAUGCAGGCAGUUAUUUGGACUCUUAAAGUGGUAGAAGAGCCAAUUUACCACCUUAAAGACGUUUAAUGUUCUUGAAACGAAAAUUUCUACUCGCACUAGCAGACCAAGACGGUUUUACAUCUUUGUACCUCAGAAGACAGAGCCAAAUUUUCCUGAAGGUUAAAUUACAGUUUGAUCGCAGUAACGUGUAAUCAUGUUUGGCCUCUUCUUGUAAAGAGUUAAAACGAAAGGAACAGACCAGGAAGUAAAUAUCCCUUUAAUACCAGAUAUGAAGGAUAUUAAAAGACAGAAGCCACCCCAGCAAGAGCCGGUUCACCCCGGUGUCUUCUGGCAAGCGAUGCAGCAUCUGAUGCUGUAUCAACAAACUACAAGGUUCUUCCCCCAGGCUGUGAGACUUCUCCUCUCAUCCUCCACGCUUCACUAUAAAAAAAGAUAGUUUUUUUGCCGUAACAAAGAAGUACAACAGUUUGAAUUUCAUGUGCAACAUUUAUCGGUGACCAAGUCAGUCACAUUAGACUCAAAAUCUCCAACUAGCCAGCAAAGUUAAAAAAAUUCACGUGACCAGUUUUACUGAAAUCUGAGCAAAAAUCCUGGUUUUGUUUUCCGUCUGGUCUUCUAGUCCCUCGUUAAAGUUCAUGUAUGAAAUAAAACCUCAAUCCACCCCAAACCUGAAAGAACAUCUCCAAACUUUUGUAACAGGUCAGCAAAAAUGACCGUUUAAAGGUGGGGUAGGCGGGAUUUCGUUAAAGAAGCAUCUUUUUUUUUUGUGGUGUUUAUACAAAAAAUCUUCUAAUAUCAGUCAAUAGUUAUUAGUUAUUGAUGACAUUUGGUAAUAUAUCGAUAUCUCUGUGUUCUCUUAUGUCUGUGUCGUCAACAUUUGAACAUUUUUGAGCGGUCCGCUCUUUCUGACUGUAAACAAAGCCGUUCUCCACCUCCUCUAACCUGAUUGGUUGUGAGGCAGACGCUGCUCCCCCGUGUCGUUCAGGAGCCCAAACAAAGUUAGCGUGCUACAAUAUCG